CCUAUUGCAUACAAUUCUGUUGUAAUGUUUGUUGGAUCAUUGAGUAGUUCGUAUUGAUUCUGAGUUUGUUGGAUCAUUGAACUCUGCGUGCGCUUCUGUUAUCUGAGAGAAAUUCACGAUCCUGUGUUUCGUUUUUGCGGCGGAUCGAGGAAUGAUUACGUUUCAUGUUCAUGCGUUUUUGUGUUCGCGGUUUUGAAUUUGGAUUACGGAGACGGGGAGAGGCCAAACCUUACUUUGCAACGUCAGUUUCAGAUUAGUUCCGUCGCUGCGUUGUUCGUCGGCGAUUUCCAGACCUCAAACGCAUGCACCCUUAUGAUACUCUGGUUUGGCUCGUUGGUCGUUACGGUUGUUCUUAUGUUCUUGAAUAACCCCAUCUUAUACGCAGAGAUGGGGUGAUUCGUUAUGGUUCUUCUGAUGGUUGCGUAUGUUCUUUUGAAUUGGGUUCUUCUUGUAAUGCUUUGCUUAUGUUCCCAAUGUCUGUCUUUCCAUAUAGGCCGUGGUGUGUUUUAUACUGUACAAUCUAUGGUGUGUUUUACACUAUCUGAUGCGGAAUGUAGAAAUAUUGAUAUCACUUUUGUGCUAUUAUACUAGAUAUGGUGUGUUUUAUCCAAGUUAUUAACCACAUCUCUUACAAAUUUUCCUUGAGAUGGUAUAUGCCAGGAGUGAUUGAUGUCUCGAUGAAUAUAAUCAUUUAUACUAACUUGGUAUUGGUAGUUCCUGAGGUAACACACCAGUACUUGUUUAGUGCAGACAACUAACUAUUCUUUUUUCUGAACUUUUUUGUGAUAUGUGUGUUAUGUGGAUAUCAUAUUCUAAUGCUUUUCUAAGUAUUUAAGGUACAGACUUGUGGAUUUGGACAUGUCACAUUUGCUCUUUAUUGUGUUGCUAAGGACACUGAACGGUUUGGCUGAGCUACUGCACGUCCUGGCUAAUCAGGAAGUGUUGUUAUGGAUCAAAGAUGUAAUGGAAGAGACUGGAAGUAACAUUACAACCGACCAACUUAAAGAAUAUGUAUGGAAGACACUGAAGAGUGGAAAG